rnacentral:lncRNA from 1 species
CCCAGGGAGGUGAGACCAAAGCUAGUUCUCUCUAUAGAUAAAGCUAGUUCUUGGCUGCUAGAGUUGCAGUCCAAAUAUUCUAUGAAAGUCCAUGUGUUGAAAGCUUGCUCUCCUGUUUAGUGCUAUUAGGAGGAGGUGGAACCUCUUAAAGGUGGAGUCUCAUGACAGGAAAUUAAGUCAUUGAGGGCAGCCCUUGGAGGGGAUUUUGGGAGCCCUGUCCCUCCUCUUCCUAUCUCUCUUGCUUCCUGGCAGCCAUAAAGAGAGUGGCUUUGCUCUUCCCACCAUGGAGGGCUGCCUGCCACAACAACAAAAAUCAAUGAGGCCAAGCAACUGUUGACUGAAACUCCAAAACUCUGAGCCACAACAAACCGUGUCUUAUGAUUCAAGUGUACCUGGUGUUUUGUCACAGUGACAGAAAGCUUACACAGUUACUCAUCAGCUGAGCCAGGGGUGGAUGGGAACGCCCUGUCCUCUGAUCAGGCUGAGGGGUUGGUUGACCAUUGAGCAGCUCAGGCUGAGUCAGAUUUCCCGAGUCUCUGCCACCGUAAAAAUCAGGCUCAGUGGUGCUAGCACAUGGAACAAGUCCCUGAAAGCCCACAAGAGAGG